CUCCUUGGUGAAGCUUUCCUCUGUGAACCUGAAAUCUUCUGAUAUGGUGUGCCACAAAUGCCAGCACUGCCUGCUGAGUCAAAAGUACACAAACUGAAAAAUGCAGAGGAAUAUUAUAGAUUCCACAAUAUAAACUUCUGUGGAAAAGUUUAAACCAUUGCUCUGGGAACUGUGUAGGACAGAAGAUUUCUUUUUUUUGACUGGAAGAAGACUAACAUAGAUGGGGGGGAGAGCAAAGCAACUGGGAGGUGAUAUUGUUCAAGAUUGCAGUCUACCUUAAAUGAAACAAGUGAAGAUACCUUUCAAAUGAAGUAGAUGUGGAGCUGAGGAGGUUUGGAGUAAUGACUGUGAAAGCUUCCAUUGAAGACAGCUGGUUUUAAACCAUAUGAUGGGCAACUGUUCUGGAUGGAGCUUACUUGAAAACAUUCAGCAUGUUGGGAUGAAAAGUCCCUCAAAGAGAUGUGUGCCUGUUCUCAGCUGAACAAACACCAAGGAACUAACAGGAACAAUGAAACCGGACUGACUAAACAAAUACAAGUCAUGUGGAUUUCACAUGCUCUUUACCUGCUGAUUGUCUAGUCUUGGGAAAGGGCUUGUCAUUGGAAAAUAGCUUGCCUUUGUAACGUUUCUUAGUUAAUAGGUACUUUAGACAACACUUUGAUAGUACAGUUUGUUAGCUGUCUAAUAUCAUGUUUUGUACAUGCUUGUAAUUGUGAUAGCACCCUUUAAAAAAAAAAAAAGGUGCAAAAGAGUUUAUGUAGCCAGUGUAUAAUUUUUCCAUGGUUUUUGGAGGCUGAAAGAAAUAGGUAACUAUAUACAUAUUACCCAUUAAUUUAAAAAUCUGAGUGAACACUAUCUUGUUCCAUGGUUCAGAAGAAAUAGUAACAUACCAGAAGGCUGACUUUUUUUAGUAGAUGUAUAAACAAGAAUUUUGGCUGAACUGUAUUUUUAUUUUUGUUUUUUUAAAUAUUCAGUAACCAAAGGGAUGCAGGUAUCUAAUGAAUCAGGUUGUAUAUAAUUAAGUAAAUUAAGCAUUACAGCAGCAUCUCUUUGAAGAUGAAGCUGACAGAAAACUAUGUUAAAAUAGCAGUGCAUUGAAAGACCAAAAGAGGGGCUAGAGUUUUCUAGCAGCUCUUAUUGAACAACCUGAAAAAAAAGUGAAUAUUGAAUAAAUAUAUGGUGAAGUUCCUUGAAGGUGUAUAACUUUGUACGAGAAAACAGCAAAGUCUAUUGGAUCUGUCAGUUUUUGUGGUCAUAUUAUGUUAUGAACAGUGAAAGCUGUUAACCUUACAUCUAGAAUUCCCUGAACUCUGUGUGUUUGGUCAUGUAACAUGAAUUUUUCAUUGUCAUAAUGUUCUCUUACUGUUUUUCGCAUGGGAGGAAGGAGCAGUGAAAGAAAACUAGAAAGGAAGCCUCUGGAUCUUUUAAAGGUGGUUGAUGUGAUGAAAGAAAAAAGAAAAAAAAUUAAGUAGAACCUGGGAAAUUCUUCUGUCAUAAGACUGUUUAGCUAGCUAUCUCCUGAAUUUUGCUACAAGUAGUUCAGAGUGCCUUGGAAUUUCCCUUGUCUCAGGUAGUCUGCUUAUAGAAGUCUUGUUUAUCUCAUGUGAACCUAUUGUCAGAAUUUCUGGAGAGCACUAUUUGGAAUAGUACAAUAUAAUAUGGAAUUCCUCUGUAGCAUAGGUGUUAUGUGACCUGCAUAAAUUCAGGGGGGAAUGCAUUGUCCUCUUUGAUUUUCUGUUCUGGAUUAUAUGGCUUAAACAAUACUUGCGUGAGUGUCACUGCUAGCUGUGCGCAAAACUUGAAUAGUGUGAGAGACCUUAUGAUUUAGAAUGUAAACAUGUGAACAUAAACUCAUCAUUCCUAGGUAGUGUGUGGGAAGUGUUACAAGUUUGUUACAAGUACAGGCAAGUGUGAAUCUCCUGUAUUUAGGAGAACUAUGCUUGCUUGAACUAGAUAUGAAUUUUGCUCAACUCUUUCAAAUGGGUGAGAUAUUACAUGAUGUCCACACAUGCAAAGUACACUGCCAGGGGAUUUGGCUAGUUCAAAUUCAGCCAAGCCACUAUAGCUACAAGUCAUUUUUCCUUCCUGUUCCUUGGCAUAUUUUAAUGAGUCUGGAUUUCUUCUCUUUGUCAUGUCUCAAAACUUCUUUCUAUUCUUGUAAUUAAUUUUUAGCAAAAUUAAAAUCGUUAUGUCUUUUUUUUUUUUUUUUUUUUUCCAAUGAGCCCACUGAUAGUUAAAUUCUGGCAGUGGUGCUUCUGAUUAGGCUUAUGUUUUAUUAUCUAAUUCCUUAAUUCACAGUAAUUAUCUUUUUGUUGCUAAGAAAGAUAGAUUGCCUUCAGAGACAUUUCUGGGAAGCUGCCCGCUUUCUUGCUUGCCUAUUUGAAUCUCAAGUUUGCUGUUAGAUUUGAUCUGUUAGGAUAAACACAUCAGAUGCAACAAUUCCUUUGUUUGGAAGACAACUGAACUUGCAUGCUUUCUGCAGAACAAUGCCAACUAGCAUGUUCAGUACCUUGUAUCUCACUGGUAGUCAUGUGCAUUUGUCAAUCUUGCUAGGAGAGUGCAGGGGAGAAUAGUGCAGUGCUAUGCUGGUUGCUGUGUGAAGGUGAUGAUUAGUUCAUUACCAAGCUACUGGAUUUGAUGGAAGGUGGUUUAAGAUCCUUACAGUCUAAAUAAAUAAAACAUUUAAGGGUAUUGAUUGGGUAUAUUUUGAUAACGGCAUACUAGAGAUUGACUAGACUUGGAAUAAACUGAUAGAAUUUUGACUAAUUGGCUUCAAAAGAAGUGAGAAUAACAAGUCUGUUUAAAAUAACACCAACAGUGCACUAUUUGAAUGUACCUGACCCUAUUACAGCAUGCACAAGGCACUAGUGGUAGCCAAUUAGCUCAGGUAAAACGCAGUGUGUGCUCUGGGCUGUGCCUGACUGUCUGCUUGUAUCUAAACUAGGAAGUGAAAAGGAAUCUAUUCUUCUCCCAGUAUAACUGAUGCAGCUGACCUUUGUAAUAAAUUGUAGAUGUAAUAUUUGUUACAAAUAUCAGUAUUGCCAAGGCCAUCCAACAAUAGAUGAUAGAGAGCAAUGUGGCUGGUCUAGAAAAGAGAAGAGGCUACCAAAUAGUUUGUGUGUGCGUAUCUAAGUAUGCUUCAGUGUGUGUGUAUAUAAAGCUUUGCCUGUUUAUCAUGGUGCUAACUUGGAUAAAUAAGUAUGUUCUCGGUAUCAGAAUCAUAUUUUGGAAAUUGAUGAAUCCAAGCAAAACUGGAACAAAGGUGCCAUAAAACACUUUUUCAGUUUGGAGCUGAGUCUGAGGCCCUUCCCGGUUCAGAACCCAGGGCUCCAUGGCUCCUACCGUGAGGAAGUGCAUUGCUGAACUGACAAACAAUCCAUCUUCAAAUAUUCACUCACUGUUCAAGAUGAGAUUUUCAGUUUUGUCAAAUUUUCUAGGAAAUCUUGUGUGUUUCUACUCAAUUCUGAACUUGGAGACUGCAUUUUAUGCACCAUCUGAUGGACACUGAUUCUGUACAGAGUUUCUGUGAAGAGUUGGAUUUGCUUUUAAGAGAAAGUUUCGUUGUUAGGGCUGUGGGUGCUAGCCUGGGAGAAUCUGUACG